GACGAGACGCAGCACGACCCCAACGAGGCUUUGAACAACAAGGCUACAUAAACAGGAACAGGAUGUCCCACUCAACAUCUAAGGGCCAGAGACGUACAAACCCAUAGAACACAAAGAAGCCAAGGCUCCGGCACAGACAAUGUGGAGGUCGAGGAUCAUGUACGAACACCAGAGUUUGUUUUAAGCGCAAACACUGAGCAGACAGCUAGAGGACUGUGAUGAGCAAUUCCCAAAAUUUGCCAAAAAGUGUAUGGGCUUAGAAUCGUGGACUGCACCUUCAAGGAAACCUUUUGUGUGUAAGUGUACCUGCUGGAGGUAUUUGUCACAGUUGAUGAACUCGCGCUCGUGCGGGUCCUGGAGCUUGUGGGUCUUGACGUACUGCCAGAGGGCCUGGAUGAUGACCGGACGGGUCUGGGUGUGUAUCCCCAGCAGCCUGGCCAGCCGCGGGUCCAGCUUAAACUGGGGGGGCUACACAGGAGGGGUGGGGGAAGUCCACAUUAUAUACUACUCAGAAAUGGACCCGACAGUGGAGGUAAUCUCAACAAUGCAAUCUAAAACAUACAAUACUGUAAACUAAGUGGAAUAUGCUGGCAGAUUAACAGUUACACGAGGAGUAGGUACAUAUCACAUGUCUUAUCAUGAGUCCACUUUACAUAUUGAAAUAAAUUGAAAGAAAAUAA